rnacentral:tRNA from 1 species
GGGCCUAUGGUGGUAAAGGUAACCACGCUUGAGUUGACGCCAGGAGUUGCGAGUUCGAUUCUCGCUAGGUCCACCA